AAUUCCAGAUAUAGCCAAGUUGCCAACCGAGAACAGCCAUCACACCACUUCUGCUAAAGGGCACAGACUCCUCACCUGAGUCCACAAGGUUGAAGACACAGAGACAAGUUAUUGACCUAAACCUGCAUUCUCUUUGGGUUCCAGAAAGAACCAAAGUCUCAGCUGUCCCAGUUUCAUCUUCUGGAACCACACUGAAUGAGUCCAGUACUGUUCCCAUCUAAGCACACGUUGGAGACCUGAGAAUGGUGUCUGGCAUUGGGAGUAAAUGCAGUUACCAAAACUCUACCCAGCAGCACCAGGAACUCUGGCUUCCGAUUGAAAAUCCCCUAAGGAUGGACUGUCAAGCACCUACCCAUAAGUGGAGAGCCCAGGGUUAAGGAGAUACUGGGGCAUCUGGUCAUUGUCUCUCACUGAAAGAAGAAAACAAGGGGCUGGAGAUGCGACUUUGUGGUUAAGAACACAUGUUCUUGCUGAGGACCAAAGUUCAGUUCCCAGCACCUAACUGGGUGGCUCACAAGCACCUAUAAACUCCAAUUCCAAGGAAUUCGAUGUCCUCUU